GGCCUCCAUCUUGAAAACGGAAAAUAAAAACAGCAGACCUAUGAAGGUCGAAGGGGAAGAAAAGCUGUAUCGAUUGUUGAGAUCUGGCGACUUGUUUAAAUUUCAUCAGCCUCACUUCUAUGAACUCUCAGGCCUCACGUGUACCAGCUCUCUGCUCUCCUUUGCCUUGGGACGUUCCAUCCCUGGAAGUUUCCCUGCCCACAUCUUUGUAGAGAGUCCAUUCUCCAAGCUUCAGUGUGUCAUCUGUGAGGACCGUGACCCACCUGGUACAUCGCCUCAGGGCAUUCAUUUCAGGCUCCUUCUAAAUGGCCAAGGAUCUUGGAAGCAGAGGGAUCUGCAGAAGUGCUUGCAACACUUUCAGCCUUAACCAGCAUCAGAGACAAAAAUCCUUUCUGGAAUGAGGUAAACCUCAGGUUCUCCUCCUGCCUUUUGCUAAGUAUAUGUCUUGAUGACAAGCCUUCUGCUGAUGAGCUGUGUUUCUGGACCGAUCAUGGUAGAAGUCAAUUAACGUGUCCCUCACUUGGGGUUUCUCAAGG
rnacentral:lncRNA from 1 species